UACGGAGGAUGCGAGCGUUAUCCGGAUUUAUUGGGUUUAAAGGGUGCGUAGGCGGACUGUCAAGUCAGCGGUAAAAUUGAGAGGCUCAACCUCUUCCCGCCGUUGAAACUGGUGGUCUUGAGUGGAUGAGAAGUACGCGGAAUGCGUGGUGUAGCGGUGAAAUGCAUAGAUAUCACGCAGAACUCCGAUUGCGAAGGCAGCGUACCGGCAUCCAACUGACGCUGAGGCACGAAAACGUGGGGAUCAAACAGG
rnacentral:rRNA from 1 species